rnacentral:misc_RNA from 1 species
GAUGAAGAACGUAGUGAAAUGAGAUAAGUAAUGUGAAUUGCAGAAUUCAGUGAAUCAUCGAAUCUUUGAACGCACAUUGCGCCCGUCAGUAUUCUGGCGGGCAUGCCUGUUCGAGCGUCAUUACGCCCCUCAAGUCCCCUGUGGACUUGGUGUUGGGGAUCGGCGAGGCUGGUUUUCCAGCACAGCCGUCCCUUAAAUUAAUUGGCGGUCUCGCCGUGGCCCUCCUCUGCGCAGUAGUAAAACACUCGCAACAGGAGCCCGGCGCGGUCCACUGCCGUAAAACCCCCCAACUUUUUAUAGUUGACCUCGAAUCAGGUAGGACUACCCGCUGAACUUAAGCAUAUCAAUAAGCGGAGGA